rnacentral:rRNA from 1 species
AUACGGGGGGCGCAAGCGUUGUUCGGAAUUACUGGGCGUAACGCGCGUGUAGGCGGUUUGGCAAGUCGGGUGUGAAAGCCCUGGGCUCAACCCAGGAACUGCAUUCGAAACUGCCAGGCUAGAGUCCCGGAGAGGAAGGCAGAAUUCCCAGUGUAGGGGUGAACUCCGUAGAUAUUGGGAGGAAUUCCAGUGGCGAAGGCGGCCUUCUGGACGGUGCCUGACGCUGAGCCGCGAAAGCGUGGGGAGCAAACAGGAUUAGAUACCCCAGUAGUCC